AUUGAACGCUGGCGGCAGGCUUAACACAUGCAAGUCGAACGGUAACAUAAAGGAGCUUGCUUCUUUGAUGACGAGUGGCGGACGGGUGAGUAAUGCUUGGGAAUCUAGCUUAUGGAGGGGGAUAACUACGGGAAACUGUAGCUAAUACCGUGUAGAAUCGGGAGAUGAAAGUGUGGGACCUUCGGGCCACAUGCCAUAGGAUGAGCCCAAGUGGGAUUAGGUAGUUGGUGAGGUAAAGGCUCACCAAGCCGACGAUCUCUAGCUGGUCUGAGAGGAUGACCAGCCACACUGGGACUGAGACACGGCCCAGACUCCUACGGGAGGCAGCAGUGGGGAAUAUUGCGCAAUGGGGGCAACCCUGACGCAGCCAUGCCGCGUGAAUGAAGAAGGCCUUCGGGUUGUAAAGUUCUUUCGGUAGCGAGGAAGGCAUUUAGUUUAAGAGACUAGGUGAUUGACGUUAACUACAGAAGAAGCACCGGCUAACUCCGUG
rnacentral:rRNA from 1 species